GGAGGCAGCAGUGAGGAAUAUUGGUCAAUGGGCGCGAGCCUGAACCAGCCAAGUAGCGUGAAGGAUGAAGGCUUAUGGGUCGUAAACUUCUUUUAUAUGGGAAUAAGUUUUCCACGUGUGGAAUUUUGUAUGUACCAUAUGAAUAAGGAUCGGCUAACUCCGUGCCAGCAGCCGCGGUAAUACGGAGGAUCCGAGCGUUAUCCGGAUUUAUUGGGUUUAAAGGGAGCGUAGGUGGAUUGUUAAGUCAGUUGUGAAAGUUUGCGGCUCAACCGUAAAAUUGCAGUUGAAACUGGGAGUCUUGAGUACAGUAGAGGUGGGCGGAAUUCGUGGUGUAGCGGUGAAAUGCU
rnacentral:rRNA from 1 species